rnacentral:rRNA from 1 species
AUACGGAGGGUGCAAGCGUUACUCGGAAUCACUGGGCGUAAAGCGCGCGCAGGCAGCUUGAUAAGUUGGAUGUGAAAGCCUACGGCUCAACCGUAGAACUGCAUCCAAAACUGUCAGGCUAGAGUGUGGGAGAGGAAGAUGGAAUUAGUUGUGUAGGGGUAAAAUCCGUAGAGAUAACUAGGAAUACCAAAAGCGAAGGCAAUCUUCUGGAACACUACUGACGCUGAGGCGCGAAGGCGUGGGGAGCAAACAGGAUUAGAAACCCCAGUAGUCC